GUUAUAGGGUCAAGCGAACAAGUGCAUGUGGUGGAUGCCUUGGCGAUCACAGGCGAUGAAGGACGCGGUAGCCUGCGAAAAGCUACGGGGAGCUGGCAAACAAGCUUUGAUCCGUAGAUGUCCGAAUGGGGAAACCCACUCCUUUUGGAGUAUCCAUGGCUGAAUACAUAGGCCAUGCGAAGCGAACGCGGUGAACUGAAACAUCUAAGUAACCGCAGGAAAAGAAAUCAACCGAGAUUCCCAAAGUAGUGGCGAGCGAAAUGGGAUCAGCCUUGUACUCUUUAUUUGUAUUGUUAGCCGAACGCUCUGGAAAGUGCGGCCAUAGCAGGUGAUAGCCCUGUAGGCGAAAACAGUAUGAAAGAACUAGGUGUACGACAAGUAGGGCGGGACACGUGAAAUCCUGUCUGAAGAUGGGGGGACCAUCCUCCAAGGCUAAAUACUCGUGAUCGACCGAUAGUGAACCAGUACCGUGAGGGAAAGGCGAAAAGAACCCCGGGAGGGGAGUGAAAUAGAUCCUGAAACCGCAUGCAUACAAACAGUCGGAGCCUCGCAAGGGGUGACGGCGUACCUUUUGUAUAAUGGGUCAGCGACUUACGUUCAGUAGCAAGCUUAACCGUAUAGGGCAGGCGUAGCGAAAGCGAGUCCGAAUAGGGCGUUCAGUUGCUGGGCGUAGACCCGAAACCAGGUGAUCUAUCCAUGGCCAGGAUGAAGGUGCGGUAACACGUACUGGAGGUCCGAACCCACUAACGUUGAAAAGUUAGGGGAUGAGCUGUGGAUAGGGGUGAAAGGCUAAACAAACCUGGAAAUAGCUGGUUCUCUCCGAAAACUAUUUAGGUAGUGCCUCGUGUCUCACCUUCGGGGGUAGAGCACUGUCAUGGUUGGGGGGUCUAUUGCAGAUUACCCCGCCAUAGCAAACUCCGAAUACCGAAGAGUGCAAUCACGGGAGACAGACAUCGGGUGCUAACGUCCGGUGUCAAGAGGGAAACAACCCAGACCGCCAGCUAAGGUCCCCAAAUAUAGCUAAGUGGGAAACGAAGUGGGAAGGCUAAAACAGUCAGGAGGUUGGCUUAGAAGCAGCCACCCUUUAAAGAAAGCGUAAUAGCUCACUGAUCGAGUCGUCCUGCGCGGAAGAUGUAACGGGGCUAAGCUAUAUACCGAAGCUGCGGAUGCGUGUUUACACGCAUGGUAGGAGAGCGUUCCGUAAGCCUGCGAAGGUGCGUUGAAAAGCGUGCUGGAGGUAUCGGAAGUGCGAAUGCUGACAUGAGUAGCGAUAAAGGGGGUGAAAGGCCCCCUCGCCGUAAGCCCAAGGUUUCCUACGCAACGUUCAUCGGCGUAGGGUGAGUCGGCCCCUAAGGCGAGGCAGAAAUGCGUAGCUGAUGGGAAGCAGGUCAAUAUUCCUGCACC
rnacentral:rRNA from 1 species